rnacentral:tRNA from 1 species
UCCCGUGUGGCUCAGUUGGUAGAGCAUGGUGUUUGCAACGCCAGGGUUGUGGGUUCAAUUCCCACGGGAG